ACAGUGAAAUAACGUUACCUACCUACUAUUUAUUUAAUUACCUAUUAUGGUCACGAAAAUGUUGGUCUGAUUACUCUAACGUCGACAGUUGAAAAUUAAUACCUUGCUCAAAAAUUCUUCUGAAAAAGCAUUUUUGCCACGUGUGUGCGUGUAACAGAAUAAACCAUGUCCUUUAAUAGGAUGCAACAAAUACUUUAAAUCUGACGGCCGCUGGUCCGUCGGUUCAGUCGAUUAGUGCAUGUACGAACAUUCAUCAUGAGAGCUUACGUUUUGAUAACGCUCCUCUUCGUAGCUCAAGCAUCUGCCACAUUUGAUUUUCAAACGUUCAAGGAGAAUCUAGCAAGAAAACUUCACAUUUUGGAAGACAAAGCGGAGAACUCCCUGCGUCAGCUAAUACGAGACAAUAUUGACGUCGAAAGAAUCAAACAGCGCGACUUUCUUCACAUCAUACCGUUCGUGGCAUCAAGUGCUGACUUCAUAAAAGAGAAACUCGAGAAUCUACCGACAAUUAUACAGACUGGGAGCGAUAGUCUGAGAUCGUACUACCACAAACUGCAUAGUUUAACAGGAAAGGACCUCCAUUCGGCCUUCGUUGCGGGGGUACCUUGGCCAGUGUUAAGACGGAAGGAUGAGUUCGACGACUGAUUUUAAAUUAGGUAAUUUAUUUGUAAGGCGUAGCUGAGAGAUUGUUAGAAAUGCUUGUGAGGACGACAUCAAUGCCGUUGACAAACGAUCACAAUGCUAAUAGCGCUUAGGUGACUGGUCGGUGGUACAUACCAUGUCAAUUUUAUGGAAUUUUGAUGGUAUUAACUUUUAUGAACUUUAAUUUUUCAAAAAAUCAUUUCUUAUCAUCAAAUAAAAUAAAUAUAAUAGAAGAAAUCGAUAAUAAUGUGAUAGUGGAGCUAGUGUGCGGGUCAUGAUUAUCAUAAUAAUGCAUUGUCAUCAAAACUAAAUGUAUGUACUUACAAAAUUUCCCUGCUUUAAACUUGCAAGAUUCCAUCCGAGACAUAGGGACAUACAUUGUAAGUUAAAUAAAAGCUUGUAAUAAUAAACUUGUUAGUAAUUUAUA